rnacentral:rRNA from 1 species
CAACCCUUGUCUUUAAUUGCCAUCAUUUAGUUGGGCACUUUAAGAGACUGCCGGUGUUAAGCCGGAGGAAGGUGGGGAUGACGUCAAGUCCUCAUGGCCUUUAUGCCCAGGGCUACACACGUGCUACAAUGGGCGGUACAAAGAGAAGCAACCUCGCGAGGGUGAGCAAAUCUCAAAAAGCCGUUCUCAGUUCGGAUUGAAGUCUGCAACUCGACUUCAUGAAGUCGGAAUCGCUAGUAAUCGCGGAUCAGCAUGCCGCGGUGAAUACGUUCCCGGGCCUU